rnacentral:misc_RNA from 1 species
AAAUGGAGGGAAGGUUAUGUGUUGUGGAACUUUUUUGAAUCCUGGUUCUUGGGAUGCCUCACUUCUUGCUGCUGGUACUACUCUAUCAGCAAUGAAACACGUUCUUGAAGGGCAGGGCAAUAUUGCUUACGCACUGGUUAGGCCUCCUGGACACCACGCUCAGCCAACUCAAGCCGACGGUUAUUGCUUCUUGAACAAUGCUGGUCUUUCCGUUCAAUUGGCUUUAAAUUCUGGUUGUGAGAAGGUUGCUGUUGUAGACAUUGAUGUUCACUAUGGAAAUGGAACUGCUGAAGGAUUUUACACGUCCAACAAAGUUUUGACUAUUUCACUUCAUAUGGAUCAUGGUUCCUGGGGUCCAUCCCAUCCUCAAAGUGGAUCAAUCGAUGAGCUCGGUGAAGGACAGGGUUAUGGCUACAAUUUGAAUAUACCUCUGCCAAAUGGAAUAGGGAACCGUGGAUAUGAGUAUGCUAUGAAAACAUUAGUUGUCCCAGCAAUCCAGAAGUUCGACCCAGACAUGAUUGUAUUGGUUGU